UAAGGAAUAUUGCUCAAUGGGAGAAAUCCUGAAGCAGCAACGCCGCGUGGAGGAUGAAGGGUCUAUGACUUGUAAACUCCUGUAAAGAAGGAAAAAAUUCCCAUUUGAUGGGAGAUGAUGGUACUUCUGGAGUAAGCCCCGGCUAACUACGUGCCAGCAGCCGCGGUAAUACGUAGGGGGCAAGCGUUGUCCGGAUUUACUGGGCGUAAAGGAUGCGUAGGCGGAUACUUAAGUCAGAUGUGAAAAUCCCGGGCUUAACUUGGGAACUGCAUUUGAAACUGGGUAUCUAGAGUGCGGGAGAGGAAAGUGGAAUUCCUAGUGUAGCGGUGAAAUGCGUAGAGAUUAGGAAGAACACCAGUGGCGAAGGCGACUUUCUGGACCGUAACUGACGCUGAGGCAUGAAAGCGUGGGGAGCAAACA
rnacentral:rRNA from 1 species